UCAGGGUGUAAAGUCUGAAUCUUUGAGUGAAUUAAUCAUUUAAUUUUGCUGUAAUAAUUAAUGUUCCAGCUUGUGUGCUGUGCCUGUGCUGUACAUAAGAUGUUUUUAAAGGUGUUUUUAAAAUAAAUAA